UUGAUUACAAUAAGGCUUGGAGAUAGAGAACUUUUCACAUGAUUACCGCCUGUUAUUCCAACACACACGAACACACUCAGACUCAUUCAUUGUUGGAUGCUGCACUGUCUGUGUGAAACCUGAGCCGGGUAAAGCUAUAAUGGGCAGUAUGUUGAUGAUGUGAAGACUGAGCGAGCCGGAGAGGGAGUUUCCUAUGUAUUCUCUGAUCCACUUUUGAAUCUGUUAGGCAGUCUGUUUCGCUUUGAUCUUGGAGAAGCUAAAAGUGGGAAUGUAAAGGUAACAGCAGAUCGUGUGGAGGUUGGAAGUUCAUUCCACCACAGAUGAGCAGAGGAAGUGAAUGAUCAUGAAAUAGACUUUGAGCCUCUUUGUGAUGAGACCACCAGGAGUCCCUCGAUCAUUGAUUGCAGAGAGAGAGUUGGAGCAUAGACCUGAAGAAGUGAAAUGAAGUAAGCUGGUUUCACUGCAGCACUCUACAAGAGUUUUCUCUCUGAAACCCUCCUCCUCGCCAGCCCCACCUGUCUAGAUCUGCUUCAAGGGGAUUGUAUAAGACAGAAAAUCAUACAAGGAUGGAACGACAAGAGGAUGACUACAAAAUGACUACAUGUUUAGUGAACUAUCUGAUGUUGAAGAUGUUGAAAUGAUCGUUUAAAUCAGACAUUACUUCUUGCCACUGAGGUCAUUAUUCAAACUGUAAACAAGGAUGGGAUCAACAUCAGCCAAACAUUUAUACAUAUGGUGGAUAAUUAUAUCUAUGACUUUUGAGAAACAAACAAAUAUAAAUUUACGAUGACUGAUGUUCAAAUGCCAUAAUUAAACACAUAUGUUUAAUGAUUAAUCUUGCUUAAACAGUGAACUGAUGCAAUUUCUGAGUAGAACACUGCUCCCAUGUGUGUCUGUUGGCUGAAGCUUUCGUUCUGUGUGAAAUAGUUUUAUUCAAUGCAGAAGAGCAUUAAAGCUGAUGCGUGUCAUUUUUUCAAUGUUAAAUACUUUUUUCCUUCCCACCUUAGCUUGCAGAGACUAUAAGUAAUCAAUUCCUUUUGGCUGAUUCCCUUGAAAAGAGUAAACACUGUGGCUCUGUGGCACUAUGAGAAUAUUCAUUUGUUUGUUUGAGUUCAACCAAUGCUGUGAAUUUGGGGUGGAACAGUUUAGUGAUGCUGGUGACAGAAAUAUUACAUACUUCACCCUUGAACUUUGAAUUAUUAAGUCAACUGCAAGUUUUAAAAGACAAAAAAAUCACAACUGUGUUAAAUGCUAGUCUUUGUCAAGGUCAUCAUCAGGACCUGACCUCCAGUGCCUUCUGAGCUGACAUCAGUUUUAGUACACUACUGGCUCAGUUCAGCAGGAACAGGAGUGUGGCCCCUACGACAAAUCGGUGGUCAAAGAGUCCACAUACUAGAGCCUUCAAAUGGCAAUGGAAACCCCUUCUGCAGAACCUAUAAAUAAUGCCUAAGAAACAAGUAUUUGCUUGGUGUGUGCUUGUCCCGUUACUGAAUGUCCUCAAAUUCCUUGACCCUAAAUGAACCCAGACUGGUUUCCCAGAUGUAGAUUAAGCAGAGUCCCACACUGGAAAGAAUUUCCAGUGAGCAGGACUUGAGGUCAGGUUACUUGACAUGGUCACAUUUUAAUGACUUGUGAACAGUUUGAAAACAAACAAUGUACUUGUUACUUGACUUGGUCUUUUAUUUGUGUGAUUUAUAUUGCUUUCAUCUUAAUGAAAUGAAAUAAAGCAAACUUUAUUGGACUACAAAAUACUUAAUUGUACUAAACUGACUAUUAGACUACAAUGGCAAGAAAAAGUAUGUGAACCCUUUGGAAUUAGCUGAAUUCCGACAUUAAUAACAACAAUAACACACAAACAAUUAUAAUCUUUCGUGUCUUUUAUUUAACACAUCCCAUUAAACAUUCACAGUGCUGUGGAAAACGUUUACGGUAGCAGCGGAUUAGACCUGCACAAUGUUCGGAAGGAAUUUUGGACCAUUUUUCCACACUGAACUGCUUUAUCUCAGCCAUAUUCUUAGGAUGUCUGUGUGAACGGCUCUCUUGAAGUCAUUCCACAUCAUCUCUAUUGGGUUAAGGUCUUGGCUCUGACUCGGCCACUGCAAAAGGUGGAUUUGACUUUUUUUGAAGCCAUUCUGCAGUGAAUUUACUACGAUGUCUAGGGUCAUUGUCCUGCUGUAUCACUCAACAUCUACUGAGCUUCAUCUGGUGCACUGCCACCCUGACAUUAUCCGGUAGAAUAUCUUGGGAAUUCAUUUUUCCCUCGAUGAUGGCAAGCGGUCCCAAAUCAUGGUGCUCCUUCCACUGUACUUCAUUGUUGGAAAGAUGUUUUCAUAUUGGUAUACAGUGCCCUUUUUAUGCCACACAUAGUGCUGCGUGUUCUUCCCAAACAAUGCAACCUUCGUUUCAUCAGCCCGCAAAUUUUCCACUAUAGUUGUGGAAUGUCGAGGUGGUCUUUGGCAUACUUCAGGCAUGCAGCAAAUAUUUGUUGGAAAGGAGUGGCUUCCUUCGUAGUGCCCUGUCUGUUUAAUGUUUUCAGUAUAUUAGACUAUGAACAGAGAUGUUAACCAGUUCAAAUGAUUUCUUCAAGUCUUUAUCUGUCACUCUAUGUUCUCUUUUACAUCAUUGAGCAUUCUGCUGUGUGCCCUUUGUAUCAUCUUGGCUGAAUGGCCACUUCUAGGGAGAGUAGCCACAGUAAUAAAUUGUCUCCAUUUAUUUAGACAGUUUGUCUAAAUAUGGACAGAUGAAUAUCUAAGCUCUUCGAGAUCACUUUUUCACCUUUCCAGCUUCAUGCAAAGCAACAAUUAUUGAUCGUAGAUCGUCUGAGAUCUCUUUUUUUGCGAGGCAUGGUCCACAUUAGCAGAUGCUUCUUGUGAAUAGCAAACUCAAAAUUUUUGAGUGCUUUUUAUAAGUCAAAGUAGCUCUAACCCACACCUCCAAACUAAUUCAUUAAAUGAAUGCCAGGUUUGCAAACUUCUGACUCUAUUUAGCUUUUGUUGAUGUCAUUAGCAUAGGGGUUCACACACUUUUUCCAACCUACACUGUGAAUGUUUGAAUGAUGUAUUCAAUAUGUACAAGAACAAUACAAUAUUUCGCAUGUUGAAAGAGAUUGUGUUUGUUUAUUAUUGUAACUUAGAUGAAGACCAAACCAGAUUUUAAGAAUUUAUACAUAAAUGCAGGUCAUCAUUGUAUAUAAUUGUUGCUCCAUUUAAGACAUAAAAAUAAACAACUAAAAUACACUGUAAACAUGUUUUGUAAAGUAACCUAAAAAUGUGCUUCAUGUAGUAACAUCAACAUAUUUGACUGAAUUUACUUGACAAAUGAAAUUACACCAACAAAAGGGAUUUUAUUAGUGAGAUCAAGUAGAAAGAGAUCCUUAAUAUAAUAAAUCCAGAUGAUCACAUUUUAAUUUUGUUAUUUGAUUUUUGAAGUUUGAUAUCUGAACAUAUAUUAGUUAAACUAUUAUUAAACUGUAUUAUACAUGUUUUGUAUAUUAUGCAAAAAAUAUAUAUUCUUCAUAGUGAUAAUAUGCCAGUGUUGAAGAAUACUAUGAAGAAUAAAAAAGAACCUAAAUGGCCUUUUUCUGCUGUUUUCAAUAUAAUAAUUAUAAUUCUUUAUAUAAUUAUAGUAGUAAGCCAGUGUCAGAAAUGCACUAUUUUAUUAAGGGGCAAUUUUUGCCUGUGGAUCUGCAUUUUUAGCUUUAUGAGGACAUUUUUUUUCUAAUCGUAUAAAAACACAUUGUGUGUCUGUCGUCCUUUCAUGUAAAAUACCUACAUUUAUCAAAUGUAUUACAUCAAAUUCUGAAUCUGUGUAGUUAGGCUGUUACCUAUAAAAUUAAAUCAGCAUUAGCAUCAGCAUUAACUCAUAUGAUAUGUUAAUAUGUAUAACUAUUUGUAGAAUAAAGUAUUAGGCCAUAUUUCAGGUGUUAAAAUUAUUAUUAUUUAUUUUAUUUAUUUAAUAUUAUUAUUAUGUUUUUUGGCAUAUUUGCCUUGAAAAAAUAUACAUUUCUGAAUAUUUACUGCCUUUAUUUUGGCAGAAUGCAUUGCAGUUGAUGUGUUUAUUUUA